GAGCCUCGUUCGCUUUCAUUGUGUGGAAAAGAGAUGCAAAAGUGAAUGUCCAACAUUCUGCCUAACAUUUGCUUUUGUUCCACAGACAGAGGAAAGAAAAUCACAGGUUUGGGAUGUCUGAUUUUUCGUUUCCUCUGAAAUUACCUGUUGGAGGAUAAACUGGGUAAUUAACAAUAUGAUUUGGUAGCCAUCAUUAGUAUUUAAUUUAUUAACAUCAAUUACAGAACACGAAGAAUCAUUUAACAACUUACAGAAAGUUAAAGACGUUAUUUCUGUCUCAACUUUGAAGACAUGGCGAGUAAGCGCUGCUUAUUACUGCGUCCGUAUUUCUGUGUUGAGAGAUGAGCGGAAGGACAAAUAGUUCCUAACCUGUACAACUGUUUGUUCAUAUGAUUCAUGUUUUCACUUUCGCGCUCUUGAUACACAUUCAUUUUCGGGGAAAAAAUGAAUAAAUAAAGGAAGAACGCACUAGUUAAAACACUUAGUGUCGAUAUUAUUGAUGUGAGAAGGACCAAUCAUCGCGAUAAACUCAAAAGGCUAGCCUACUAUAGAUAUUUUGAGAUCGAUCCGCCCAUCGUUAGUGAGAGCGAGACGCUCGCUUUUUGUGACGGGAGGAGCGUCUCUCAUUCAAGCGCCUCAUCUCACUCUCUGUGAGUCCGCCAGCAGAACUGACCGAAGAGAUUUCUUCGCGGAGUACACUUGCAAACUUUCAGCUGCUUUGCUUUUAAGUUACGCUUUUUUUCUGUGAAGGAGAUGUGAACGUAUUUGGACUCCAAAGAACACCGACGUCUUGUGAUUCAGUGCUUUUUAUUCGAAACUGAAGAAAAGAUUUCGGGGAGAAUUAACGAUGUUUUUCACUGAUGACAUGAGCUGGUCAUGGUCGCUGGGGGGUGUGAGGAGAUACACACAGUCUUAAGGGAAGAAGACUGCUUGCUAUCUCGACAAAAGCUUCACCUCAGAAACAUGAGGGAUUGUCUCUUGUGGAAAUUCGCCAAAGUGAUUCUGUUCUGGACAUUAGCUGAUGCUCAGGCAGGUGAAGAUGAGAUUACAGCUGAAGAACAGGUGCAGAUGCUGCUGGAUGCGAAGCUGCAGUGUCUACAGAAGAUCUCCACAGACGAUCCUGCAGGUAGAUACCGUUUCCACUAGGGAUGUAACGAUUCACUCAACUCACGAUUCGAUUCACGAUUUU
rnacentral:lncRNA from 1 species